AGAGUUUGAUUCUGGCUCAGAGUGAACGCUGGCGGCGUGGCUAAGACAUGCAAGUCGAGCGGGAUUUAUAGAUGUAGCAAUACAUUUGUGAUGAGAGCGGCAAACGGGUGAGUAAUACAUAAGCAAUCUGCCUUAAAGUUUGGGAUAGCUCGGGGAAACUCGAAUUAAUACCGGAUGUGGUCUUAAACUGCAUGGUUUAAGCACUAAAGCUUGAGAUGGCGCUUUAAGAGGAGCUUAUGGCCUAUCAGCUAGUUGGCGGGAUAACAGCCCACCAAGGCGAAGACGGGUAGCGGGUCUGAGAGGACGAUCCGCCACAUUGGAACUGAGACACGGUCCAAACACCUACGGGUGGCAGCAGUUUCGAAUCAUUCACAAUGGGGGCAACCCUGAUGGUGCGACGUCGCGUGAGGGAUGAAGGUCCUAGGAUUGUAAACCUCUGUCACAUGGGACUAACCGUAAGGUUCAUAGCCUUACCUGAAUUAACCAUGAGAGGAAGCAGUGGCUAACUCCGUGCCAGCAGCCGCGGUAAUACGGAGACUGCGAGCGUUACUCGGAUUCACUGGGCGUAAAGGGAGCGCAGGCGGAUUAGUGUGUUAGGUGUGAAAUACCGGGGCUUAACUUCGGUGCUGCGCCUAAAACUAUUAAUCUAGAGACUUGGAGGGGUAAGCGGAAUUUGUGGAGUAGCGGUAAAAUGCGUAGAUAUCACAAGGAACACCGAUGGCGAAGGCAGCUUACUGGACAAGAUCUGACGCUCAGGCUCGAAAGCGUGGGUAGCAAAAGGGAUUAGAUACCCCUGUAGUCCUGGCAGUAAACGGUGCACGCUUGGUGUGCGGGGAAUCGACCCCCUGCGUGCCGGAGCUAACGCGUUAAGCGUGCCGCCUGGGGAGUACGGUCGCAAGAUUAAAACUCAAAGAAAUUGACGGGGACCCGCACAAGCGGUGGAGCAUGUGGUUUAAUUCGAAGCAACGCGAAGAACCUUACCAGGUCUUGACAUCCUGCUAACGAAGUAGAGAUACAUUAGGUGCCCUUCGGGGAAAGUAGAGACAGGUGGUGCAUGGUUGUCGUCAGCUCGUGUCGUGAGAUGUUGGGUUAAGUCCCGCAACGAGCGCAACCCUUAUCUUUAGUAGCCAGCGGUUCGGCCGGGCACUCUAGAGAGACUGCCAGGGAUAACCUGGAGGAAGGCGGGGAUGACGUCAAAUCAUCAUGCCCCUUAUGAUUUGGGCUACACACGUGCUACAAUGGCGUAAACAAAGGGAAGCAAGGCAGUGAUGUGGAGCAAAUCCCAAAAAUAACGUCCCAGUUCGGACUGUAGUCUGCAACCCGACUACACGAAGCUGGAAUCGCUAGUAAUCGCGAAUCAGAAUGUCGCGGUGAAUACGUUCCCGGGUCUUGUACACACCGCCCGUCAAGUCAUGAAAGCCGAUUUCGCCCGAAGUGCGUGAGCUAACCGUAAGGGAGCAGCGUCCUAAGGCAAGGUUGGUGAUUGGGACUAAGUCGUAACAAGGUAGCCGUAGGGGAACCUGCGGCUG
rnacentral:rRNA from 1 species